UGCUCUCCCGAUCUUCCGACCCACACGAAAGGCGUAACGAUCUGGGCACUGCCUCGGAGAGAGGCUCGGUGAAAUAGACAUGUCUGUGAAGAUGCGGACUACCUGCACCUGGACAGAAAGACCCUAUGAAGCUUUACUGUUCCCUGGGAUUGGCUUUGGGCCUUUCCUGCGCAGCUUAGGUGGAA